GACGAACGCUGGCGGCGUGCCUAAUACAUGCAAGUAGAACGCUGAAGCGAGGAGCUUGCUCUUCUUGGAUGAGUUGCGAACGGGUGAGUAACGCGUAGGUAACCUGCCUUGUAGCGGGGGAUAACUAUUGGAAACGAUAGCUAAUACCGCAUAACAAUGGAUGACACAUGUCAUUUAUUUGAAAGGGGCAAUUGCUCCACUACAAGAUGGACCUGCGUUGUAUUAGCUAGUAGGUGAGGUAACGGCUCACCUAGGCGACGAUACAUAGCCGACCUGAGAGGGUGAUCGGCCACACUGGGACUGAGACACGGCCCAGACUCCUACGGGAGGCAGCAGUAGGGAAUCUUCGGCAAUGGGGGCAACCCUGACCGAGCAACGCCGCGUGAGUGAAGAAGGUUUUCGGAUCGUAAAGCUCUGUUGUAAGUCAAGAACGAGUGUGAGAGUGGAAAGUUCACACUGUGACGGUAGCUUACCAGAAAGGGACGGCUAACUACGUG
rnacentral:rRNA from 1 species